AUACGGAGGACGCGAGCGUUAUCCGGAUUCAUUGGGUUUAAAGGGUGCGCAGGCGGCCGUGCAAGUCAGCGGUGAAAGCCCGGGGCUCAACCCCGGAAGUGCCGUUGAUACUGCAUGGCUGGAAUGCGGUCGAGGCGGGCGGGACGUGGCGGGUAGCGGUGAAAUGCGUAGAUAUGCCACAGAACGCCGAUAGCGGAGGCAGCUCGCCAGGCCUGCAUUGACGCUCGGGCACGAAAGCGUGGGGAUCGAACAGGAUUAGAUCCCCUGGUAGUCCACGCCGUAAACGAUGGGCGCUCGUCGUCGGCGGCAGACAGUCGGCGGCCAAGCGAAAGCGAUAAGCGCCCCACCUGGGGAGUACGGUCGCAAGGCUGAAACUCAAAUGAAUUGACGGGG
rnacentral:rRNA from 1 species